GAUGAAGAACGCAGCGAAAUGCGAUAAGUAGUGUGAAUUGCAGAAUUCAGUGAAUCAUCGAAUCUUUGAACGCACAUUGCGCCCCUCGGUAUUCCGUGGGGCAUGCCUGUUCGAGCGUCAUUUACCCCUCAAGCACUGUUUGGUGUUGGGCGUCUGUCCCGCUUCGCGCGCGGACUCGCCCCAAAGGUAUUGGCAGCGGUCGUGCCAGCUUCUCGCGCAGCACAUUGCGCUUCUCGAGGCGGUCGAUCGGCGUCCACGAAGCUCACCUCCACCGUUUGACCUCGGAUCAGGUAGGGAUACCCGCUGAACUUAAGCAUAUCAAUAAGCGGAGGA
rnacentral:misc_RNA from 1 species